rnacentral:rRNA from 1 species
GAUGAACGCUGGCGGCGUGCCUAAUACAUGCAAGUCGAGCGAAGCGGGGACGGGUGAGUAACACAUGUAUAACCUCCUAUAAGACUGGGAUUACCUCGGGAAACCGGAGCUAAACCGGAUACUUAUACAUUUAUCUGCUCUGGAUUAGCUAGUUUGUAAGGUAACGGCUUACAAAGGCAACGAUACAUAGCCGACCUGCGAGGGUGAUCGGCCACACUGGAACUGAGACACGGUCCAGACUCAUACGGGAGGCAGCAGUAGGGAAUAUUCCGCAAUGGGCGAAAGCCUGACGGAGCAAUGCCGCGUGAGUGAUGAAGGUCUUCGGAUCGUAAAACUCUGUUAUUAGGGAAGCGGUACCUAAUCAGAAAGCCACGGCUAACUACGUGCCAGCAGCCGCGGUAAUUC